GGCUCUAUGGUUGUGCAAUUGGUAGCACGGCAGCCUUGCAGCAAGAAAGUCCUGGGUUCAAAUCCCACUGUGGGGUCU